rnacentral:lncRNA from 13 species
AUUUGUAGUAGUAUGUUCUUCUGUUUUUUUAGUAGAUUUUGCUCUCAGUCUACAGUCAUCUGCUUUAUGCCAUCUAGAAUAUCCUCACUCUCUUAGUUUGCUGGUGAUUAUUGUGUAUUUCUCAUGCCUUUGAAUUGAAAAUAUAUUUAUUGUGUAAUUUCCUAUGGAUUUAAGGAGGGGAAUAUAUUUUUCUGGAAUUCUCUUUCUUUCUGAUAUGCUUUCUCCCUUUUUCUUUAUCAUCAAUGACUUACUCUACCUGCCAUUUAUCUUCACCUAUGAUUUAGAAGUAGGGAAAACAAUCACAGAGUAUUUGAUAAGCAAAGGACCUUAGAUGUUACUUAAAACACCUUCAUUAGCAGAAGGAAAAAGAAACACCCUGGAGAGGCAAGAGAGACACAAAGCCGGUGAGUGGAGAAGCCCAUGUUACCUUCCAGUCGGUUCCUAGUGAUCAAACCUAGCCAUACCACUGUGCCCUCAUUCUCAUUACAAUGCCGAAUAAAGUUACAAAUCAAUCAGAAUAAAUUUUACA